UUCGGAUUGCAGGCUGCAACCCGCCUGUACGAAGUUGGAAUUGCUAGUAAUCGUGGAUCAGCAUGCCACGGUGAAUACGUUCCCGGGUCUUGUACACACCGCCCGUCACACCAUGGGAGUCGGUAACACCCGAAGUCAGUAGUCUAACCGCAAGGAGGACGCUGCCGAAGGUGGGAUUGACGACUGGGGUGAAGUCGUAACAAGGUAUC
rnacentral:rRNA from 1 species